rnacentral:rRNA from 1 species
UAGGGAAUCUUCGGCAAUGGACGAAAGUCUGACCGAGCAACGCCGCGUGAGUGAAGAAGGUUUUCGGAUCGUAAAACUCUGUUGCUAGAGAAGAACAAGGACGUUAGUAACUGAACGUCCCCUGACGGUAUCUAACCAGAAAGCCACGGCUAACUACGUGCCAGCAGCCGCGGUAAUACGUAGGUGGCAAGCGUUGUCCGGAUUUAUUGGGCGUAAAGCGAGCGCAGGCGGUUUCUUAAGUCUGAUGUGAAAGCCCCCGGCUCAACCGGGGAGGGUCAUUGGAAACUGGGAGACUUGAGUGCAGAAGAGGGGAGUGGAAUUCCAUGUGUAGCGGUGAAAUGCGUAGAUAUAUGGAGGAACACCAGUGGCGAAGGCGGCUCUCUGGUCUGUAACUGACGCUGAGGCUCGAAAGCGUGGGGAGCAAACAGG